AUUGAACGCUGGCGGCAUGCUUUACACAUGCAAGUCGAACGGUAACAGGCCUUCGGGUGCCGACGAGUGGCGAACGGGUGAGUAAUGCAUCGGAACGUACCCAGAGGUGGGGGAUAACGCAGCGAAAGCUGUGCUAAUACCGCAUGUGAUCUGAGGAUGAAAGCGGGGGACCGAGCAGCAAUGUUUGGCCUCGCGCCUUUGGAGCGGCCGAUGUCGGAUUAGCUAGUUGGUGGGGUAAAGGCCUACCAAGGCGACGAUCCGUAGCUGGUCUGAGAGGACGACCAGCCACACUGGGACUGAGACACGGCCCAGACUCCUACGGGAGGCAGCAGUGGGGAAUUUUGGACAAUGGGCGCAAGCCUGAUCCAGCAAUGCCGCGUGCGGGAAGAAGGCCUUCGGGUUGUAAACCGCUUUUGGCAGGAACGAAACGGUGUCCGCUAAUACCGGGCGCUAAUGACGGUACCUGCAGAAUAAGCACCGGCUAACUACGUG
rnacentral:rRNA from 1 species